rnacentral:rRNA from 1 species
UCAAAUCGGGUGAGACUACCCGCUGAACUUA